UUGACCUCAAAUCAGGUAGGACUACCCGCUGAACUUAAGCAUAUCAAUAAGCGGAGGAAAAGAAACUAACAAGGAUUCCCCUAGUAACUGCGAGUGAAGCGGGAAAAGCUCAAAUUUAAAAUCUGACGGUCUUUAUGGCCUUCCGAGUUGUAAUCUAGAGAAGUGCUAUCCGCGCUGGACCGGUACAAGUCUCCUGGAACGGAGCGUCAUAGAGGGUGAGAAUCCCGUCUUUGCCACGGACUACCAGGGCUUAUGUGAUGCGCUCUCAAAGAGUCGAGUUGUUUGGGAAUGCAGCUCUAAAUGGGUGGUAAAUUCCAUCUAAAGCUAAAUAUUGGCGAGAGACCGAUAGCGAACAAGUACCGUGAGGGAAAGAUGAAAAGAACUUUGGAAAGAGAGUUAAACAGUACGUGAAAUUGUUGAAAGGGAAACGCUUGAAGUCAGUCGCGUUGACCAGGAAUCAGCCUUGCUUUUGCUUGGCGCACUUUCUGGUUAAUGGGUCAGCAUCAAUUUUGGUCGGUGGAUAAAGGUCAGGAGAAGGUGGCAUCUUCGGAUGUGUUUAUAGCUCUUGGUUGCAUACAUCGAUUGGGAUUGAGGAACUCAGCACGCCGCAAGGCCGGGUGUUUACACCACGUUACGUGCUUAGGAUGUUGGCAUAAUGGCUUUAAUCGACCCGUCUUGAAACACCGG
rnacentral:rRNA from 1 species